CACAAGCCAAUCCGCUCUAGACUGGCUUCAUCCAGAAUGAUGUUGGGAAGAUGGGUGCCUUUGUUUCCAUUCCAAAGUCGAAGAAAAUGAAGCAAGAGAUGCUAGCUGAUGGCCUUCAACUUCCCAGGGAGAGUCCAGCACUCUCCAAACCUGCACCCCACCCCCCCUCAAAUGAAUCAUGCCUCAUGAAUGAAGCCUGCAGCCCAGGGCAUGCCUUUGGCACUUUCAUGCUUAAAACUCUCAUCUGGUAUGGCCCCAACCCCAUUCAGACCUCCCUCAUCUUUUAUGUUCCUGCCAGCUAGAUGGCUCCUCUUCGGGGAUCCCCCUUUGCGCCACAGGGCUGUCUUGGGCUCCUCCUCUGGUCUCUAUGCAUACCCCUGUUGGUUCCUAUCUCCUGCCCCUGAUCUGCGCACUCCCAGACAGACAACUCCAAGGCAGACCCACUGUCACAUGAUCACAGCUUAGCACACUAAUCGUAGGGGCAAGAAGUCCAUGAUAGAUAGGGGUUGCAAUUAAAUCACAGCUAAGACAGCACUGUGUUGGACAAGCACAACCAAAACUUGUCUUUCCAGUUUUCUAGUCAUCCUUUGUCUGAGAUCCUGACCCCACCCAGAUCUGGGCUCAUACAGCCAUAAUCUUUGUUUAGCCAGAAGGGCCAGGUCCUUUU
rnacentral:lncRNA from 1 species